ACAACAAACCCAGUGUAUUCCCACCUAGUGGGGUCUAGGGGGUAAGAUGUACGCAGUCCAUACCUCUACCUCUAAAGAAGUAGAAAGGCUGUUUCCGAUAGACCCCUGGCUCAAGGCACGAGAUACCACACAAACACAUAGUAAAGCACAGAAGCAGAUUACAUAACAUAAAUACGGCACCUAUAAGUAAUAUAAAACAGAGGA
rnacentral:lncRNA from 1 species